rnacentral:lncRNA from 1 species
CGUGCUGCUAAGUUUGGGGGGAGGGUGUUGCGGGGGCUUGCUUCGUCCUCUCCAGUUAUCAGCCCCUCAUUCGCUCCAUCACCUAAAGUGUUAAAAAAAAAAAAAAAGGCUCUUGGGUCCCACCGUAAGAGCGCAUAAAGAGAGGAGGUACAAUGACCGUCCUUUGCCAUUGUAGGGCUCCCUAAUUUAUGCGUUUUUAGACCCUUAAGCAUCAUUUUGUGGGCAACCAAACGGGCACUUCCAAAUUAGCUCAAAGUAUCCAAGCCCAGAGAAGAGAGAAAACACACAUACACUGAUAAAUACGCAGAUGCUAACUUUAAAUAUCUCUGACUUAAGUUUAUUCUCCCAUCACUACCGUGAUCAAAAAGAAGAGAAAGACAAAAUAUCAAAACUUCCAAAUAUUUCUAGUUGUUCGCAACGGGUCUUUUUGUUGUUGUUGGAAAAAUAUAACCUGUUCAAGCGAUAUGAAAAUGGAUGCAGAAAUCAGGUCUUUUAUGAACUUGAAACACAUCGGCUAGGUCUUCAUCCUCACCUGCACUGGAAUUACCUACUUAAGAAAAACAAACUAAUGAUACACAAAGAAGCACUUAUGUACAAUAGAAGAGAAGUGUCAUCAACAUUGACAGUUCAAACGUAAAGAUCUUCUAAAUAGGGGUGAAAAAGAAAUCUUAAAGUUAUUUAUGGCUGCUCUCCUGCAUCUCUACAAGGUUAAUAGAUGAUGAUUUAUGCA